AGAGUUUGAUCAUGGCUCAGGAUUAACGCUAGCGGCAGGCCUAAUACAUGCAAGUCGAACGGUAAAUAGGUAGCAAUAUCUAUGAGAGNGGCGCACGGGUGAGUAACGCGUAUGCAACCUACCUUUAACUGGGGGAUAGCUUCGAGAAAUCGAAAUUAAUACCCCAUAACAUUAUUGAAUGGCAUCAUUUAAUAAUCAAAACUCCGGUGGUUAAAGAUGGGCAUGCGUGACAUUAGCUAGUUGGUAAGGUAACGGCUUACCAAGGCUACGAUGUCUAGGGGGUCUGAGAGGAUGAUCCCCCACACUGGUACUGAGACACGGACCAGACUCCUACGGGAGGCAGCAGUAAGGAAUAUUGGUCAAUGGAGGCAACUCUGAACCAGCCAUGCCGCGUGCAGGAUGAAGGCCCUAUGGGUCGUAAACUGCUUUUGUACGGGAAGAAACCCCUUUACGUGUAAAGGGUUGACGGUACCGUAAGAAUAAGGAUCGGCUAACUUCGUGCCAGCAGCCGCGGUAAUACGAAGGAUCCAAGCGUUAUCCGGAUUUAUUGGGUUUAAAGGGUGCGUAGGCGGCUUAUUAAGUCAGUGGUGAAAGCCUGCAGCUUAACUGCAGAACUGCCAUUGAUACUGAUGAGCUUGAGUACAGUUGAGGUGGACGGAAUGUGUCAUGUAGCGGUGAAAUGCUUAGAUAUGACACAGAACACCGAUUGCGAAGGCAGCUCGCUAAACUGUAACUGACGCUGAGGCACGAAAGCGUGGGGAGCGAACAGGAUUAGAUACCCCAGUAGUCC
rnacentral:rRNA from 1 species